rnacentral:tRNA from 1 species
GAGGGUAUAGCUCAGUGGUAGAGCGCUUAGCAUGCAUGAGGUCUUGGGUUCAAUCCCCAGUACCUCCA